rnacentral:rRNA from 1 species
GGGUCAGUAGGUUGGUCGUGCCACCGGUACGUACUGGUCUCACUGAUUCCUCCUUCCUGAAGAACCGUAAUGCCAUUAAUUUGGUGUUGCGGGGAAACAGGACUGUUACUUUGAAAAAAUUAGAGUGUUUAAAGCAAGCUAACGCUUGAAGACAUUAGCAUGGAAUAAUGAAAUAGGACGAUCGAUCCUAUUUUGUUGGUUUCUAGGAUUGACGUA